UGGCAAUGAUUAAUUAUUUAUCCGCGCUUCUGAGAGCAAUCUGUGAAGCAUAAAAAUAAAUAUUGGUUGAAUUUCUUGAUAUGAGCCA
rnacentral:snoRNA from 1 species